CGGCAACAGCUCAAAUUUGAAAUCUGGCCCCCCGCCCGGGGCCCGAGUUGUACUUUGCAGAGGGCGCUUCGGCGCUGGCCCCGGCCUAAGUUCCUUGGAACAGGGCGUCGCAGAGGGUGAGAACCCCGUACGUGGCCGCCGGCCUUCGCCAUGUGAAGCCCCUUCGAC
rnacentral:rRNA from 1 species